AUUGAACGCUGGCGGCAGGCUUAACACAUGCAAGUCGAGCGGAGAUGAGGUGCUUGCACCUUAUCUUAGCGGCGGACGGGUGAGUAAUGCUUAGGAAUCUGCCUAUUAGUGGGGGACAACAUUCCGAAAGGAAUGCUAAUACCGCAUACGUCCUACGGGAGAAAGCAGGGGAUCUUCGGACAUUGCGCUAAUAGAUGAGCCUCAGUCGGAUUAGCUAGUUGGUGGGGUAAAGGCCUACCAAGGCGACGAUCUGUAGCGGGUCUGAGAGGAUGAUCCGCCACACUGGGACUGAGACACGGCCCAGACUCCUACGGGAGGCAGCAGUGGGGAAUAUUGGACAAUGGGGGGAACCCUGAUCCAGCCAUGCCGCGUGUGUGAAGAAGGCCUUAUGGUUGUAAAGCACUAUAAGCGAGGAGGAGGCUACUGAGACUAAUACUCUUGGAUAGUGGACGUUACUCGCAGAAUAAGCACCGGCUAACUCUGUGCCAGCAGCCGCUGUAA
rnacentral:rRNA from 1 species